AUGCGCCAUGCCGCGUGUGUGAAGAAGGCCUUCGGGUUGUAAAGCACUUUCAGUCGUGAGGAAGGUGGUGUAGUUAAUAGCUGCAUUAUUUGACGUUAGCGACAGAAGAAGCACCGGCUAACUCCGUGCCAGCAGCCGCGGUAAUACGGAGGGUGCGAGCGUUAAUCGGAAUUACUGGGCGUAAAGCGCAUGCAGGUGGUUUGUUAAGUCAGAUGUGAAAGCCCGGGGCUCAACCUCGGAAUAGCAUUUGAAACUGGCAGACUAGAGUACUGUAGAGGGGGGUAGAAUUUCAGGUGUAGCGGUGAAAUGCGUAGAGAUCUGAAGGAAUACCGGUGGCGAAGGCGGCCCCCUGGACAGAUACUGACACUCAGAUGCGAAAGCGUGGGGAGCAAACAGGAUUAGAUACCCUGGUAGUCCACGCCGUAAACGAUGUCUACUUGGAGGUUGUGGCCUUGAGCCGUGGCUUUCGGAGCUAACGCGUUAAGUAGACCGCCUGGGGAGUACGGUCGCAAGAUUAAAACUCAAAUGAAUUGACGGGGGCCCGCACAAGCGGUGGAGCAUGUGGUUUAAUUCGAUGCAACGCGAAGAACCUUACCUACUCUUGACAUCCAGAGAACUUUCCAGAGAUGGAUUGGUGCCUUCGGGAACUCUGAGACAGGUGCUGCAUGGCUGUCGUCAGCUCGUGUUGUGAAAUGUUGGGUUAAGUCCCGCAACGAGCGCAACCCUUAUCCUUGUUUGCCAGCGAGUAAUGUCGGGAACUCCAGGGAGACUGCCGGUGAUAAACCGGAGGAAGGUGGGGACGACGUCAAGUCAUCAUGGCCCUUACGAGUAGGGCUACACACGUGCUACAAUGGCGCAUACAGAGGGCGGCCAACUUGCGAGAGUGAGCGAAUCCCAAAAAGUGCGUCGUAGUCCGGAUUGGAGUCUGCAACUCGACUCCAUGAAGUCGGAAUCGCUAGUAAUCGUGGAUCAGAAUGCCACGGUGAAUACGUUCCCGGGCCUUGUACACACCGCCCGUCACACCAUGGGGAGUGGGCUGCAAAAGAAGUAGGUAGUUUAACCUUCGGGGGGACGCUUACCACUUUGUGGUUCAUGACUGGGUGAUC
rnacentral:rRNA from 1 species